GGUCGGGUGGCGCAAUGGUAGCGCGUUACUUUCCGGUGAAUAUACACUCACAUCUGGUAAAGGCUCUGGGUUCGAGUCCCAGCUCGAUCG